GUUCAACUGGCUGAAUUCCUUUGGUAGCUUUCUUUUAUCCACCCAGCGAUGAAAUUUCCUGAAGGAGUUGAUACGGAAUUUGCAACAACUGUACCCAAUAACAGGCUCUUUGCGUAGAAAAGGAGGAAAGAGAUGGACAGAAAGAACGUGAAUGAAAAAAGCGAAUGGUGUGGAAGAGAGAAGGAACGUCAAAAAGAAAAAGAGAGGGACUAAAGUAGAUCUAGAGAAAGAAAAGAAAAAGAAAGAUGUCCAGAGCUGUCAGAAUCACUUCCUGCAGUCUCAGAGCCGACUCCUGCAGCCACCACUGAGGAGGCCUCAAAAACUGAGAAUGUUUUUGCAGCCACAAGUCUCACCUGUCAAGAAGAGUGAUAUCCCUUAUCAGGAAGAUGUUAUCUCACAAGGAAACCACAACAAAAUUCGCAACCGCGACAGGACCGGAAAGAGACCCGUGGAAAGGAAACAGCAGAUUGGGGACGCUUCCCGGUCCUCUAGGGACCCCCACAGG